UACAUUUUUUUCUCCCCCCUCCACGUGAGGCUUCUCGUAAGCAGACUGAGUUCCGCUCCCCGUCGACGUCAAAGCUCAGGGGACAGCAGUGUUGGAAGACAGAACUGCUUUGUGGGAUCUCUGGCGUUCUCUUUGCCCUGCUCACUGAAAACACAACCAGUUUUGAAAUCUGCCUGGUUAAAACAAAGUCUGAAGAAGGAAUAACCUGGGCUGAAAGGUUUGAUUUAUAGGGGUUCUACUCCAGGGCAUAUGGACUCUGCCAUUUUACUGCUGGACUCUGCCCUUGGGUGCAUGAGCUCCCACCCAACAGGGCUCUGAUGUGAUCCACCACACAUAGGACCAGUUCUAAUGCUUCAAGGUUCUGCCUCUCAACUCAGAUUACCAGCCUGCCGCCUACACCUCUUAUCAGUGAAGCCACAUUUUGCAGAUGGUUGUCAAGGGUAGGAGGAAGAACCCACCCACUAAACUCUGCAGGAUUGUAGCCACUAAAGGUUUUCUGCAGGAGACAAUUUUUUGCUUCCCCUUCUCCUCACAGAAUGGUUGGUGGUUCUACUGCCUCUGUCAGGGGCGGAGGAGGAGGCCCAGCCCAGCUCAGAAUGGAAAAGCUGCAGCAGGAUUGACUGUCAACAGUAAAGGAUCCUGAAGUCAAGAAAUACGCCGCAGACAGGGGCGGAGCCACCAUUGGACCAACGGAUUCAAAGAACCUGGGACGGUGACCAAUCAGGAGCUGCGAGAGCGGCCCCGACACGCCCCCCGCGUCUGACAUCAGACGCGGGGGGCGAUAGUUUAGCUCCCGAGCGGGGGCCAC